UGUGGGAGCGAGCCUGCUCGCGAAGGCGGCGGCCCGUUCAGCAUUUUUGCUGACUGACUCACCGCUUUCGCGAGCAGGCCCGCUCCCACA
rnacentral:misc_RNA from 1 species